rnacentral:rRNA from 1 species
CAGUCGCCGCGGGAAUACGUAGGGUGCAAGCGUUAAUCGGUAUUACUGGGCGUAAAGCGUGCGCAGGCGGUUCUAUAAGACAGAUGUGAAAUCCCCGGGCUCAACCUGGGAACUGCAUUUGUGACUGUAGAGCUGGAGUGCGGCAGAGGGGGAUGGAAUUCCGCGUGUAGCAGUGAAAUGUGUAGAUAUGCGGAGGAACACCGAUGGCGAAGGCAAUCCCCUGGGCCUGCACUGACGCUCAUGCACGAAAGCGUGGGGAGCAAACAGGAUUAGAUACCCGGUAGUCCCUGUCUCUUAUACC